rnacentral:lncRNA from 1 species
AAGGGAACGUUCAGAAGUACUGAAAGGCUAGAGAGAAAACGCAAGGAACAGAAAACAGAACACAUGUGAGAUGCAGUACCAGAGCUAAUGGAUGACUUGCCACCACGAGGUCCGCCACGUCCACGGCCUCCAGAAACACUGCGCCCUCGUCCUCCAGGACGUCGUCUAUUGUCACGCUGAUGUCUGCUUUCUCUGUCGUCUUCUCCUGCCAAGGACCAGUCACUAAGUUCAUCUUUUCUCUCAGAUUCGUAACCAGAUGUGUAACUGGGGCCUCUGCGGCCUCUCCCUCUUCCGCUGUAUGAUCUGGAACCUUGUACUGAGGACAGGGUACUCUCAUCAGUUGUGUAACCCUUUUCUUUUUCGGGAACUCUAGCAGAGGAAGGUCUGAAACCCAUACCAAUCUGACGCAGUUGUUCAUCAAUCUGGAGCCUUUCCAGUCUUAGUUGUUCUACCUCCUUCAGAUACGCAAUGUGGUAUUCUAGAAGAACCUGGACAUUUCCAAUGCUUUCUUUAGUACCCACAAAUACAAAUGGUACCAUUCCAUCUUCACGAGGCAGUUUAUUUUCAUUAUCUCCUUCAAUCCUCACCCUGACGACUCCAGACUUGUCUACAAUCUCCUGAAUCACUUUUCCAUUUUUUCCAAUAACUUUUCCAACAAGAUUCCUGGGAACCUGAAUAAAAUCCUCCACAAACUCCAAGUAACUUCUUGCCUUUUUUACUGCAUCGGCAGUCUCUCCAUAGAUUCUGAAAGUACCGGUGUCCUCCUCGAGUUCAAUUGCAGUAACUCCUGGAACCUUCCUGGCUUGCUGUAUGUUACUGCCAUGGGUUCCUAUAGCAAGUCCCAUUAAAUCUUCUCUGACUACAAAUUCCUCAUGAAAUGCUGCUGCAAGUUGCUUUGUGCAUUCUAAGUGCUUUGUAGCCUCUUCAUUUCUUGACAUAAGCAUAAGCUUGGUGCGAAUGCUGCGCAAAUGCAUGUCACUCAGUAUGUUCACUCUCUUCACUGUUGCUUCACUGGCAGAAAGUAUUAUUAGCUGAGCAGUUUCAGCAUGAUAGAAAA